AUUCGGUCAAGGUUUGUAAAGUCGAUCUCUUCUGAUCUAUCAAAUCAAGCUCUUUUUCAAGUCCAACUGAUAUAAAUUUUCAUCUUUCAUGACUUCAUCAAAGGGAACCCGUCAUUGUGUGCUGAACAACCUUAAUAGAGAAAAAGUCACUUGCCAUGGUGUUUUUUGCUCUAUAAUCAGUGCUACUAUUUUUUUUUCUUUUUAGAUCCAACCAAUUUUGUAAAUGACUACAGAAUGAGGGGAGAGAACUAGACUUGAAAGAAGUCAUUGUUUCAUUUGAUUUAAUGGUUCUUGUGAUGCUGACUUGAUAAAUUUUUAUCGAUCCAUGUUUCAACACUGUAGCAUUUUUUUUUUUUAAAUGAAAAUUCUUAGUUGUCCCUUUGAUCGUUGAUGACAAAACGGGGGAGUAGAAGAAGUAUGAUCUAAAUUCAUUUGGCUGAUAUUAGCACGUUGGUAUUCUAUGUUCCAUGUGUUUUUAGUUGUUUCAUGACUAUACUUGCAUUCUCUAAAUACAUAAUGAUUUAUCGAUUUCAUACUUGUAGUUUCCUCUCGCGUUUCAUAUGGUACUGCUUGAGUUUUUGUGAUUCAAGAAACAGGUAUAUAAGAGCAUUUGAGAUGGAGUGUGGUUGUGAGAAUUGUUUGGUUGGUCAAAUUCUAACUUCUGGGUGAUUAGAAUUUGAUACUUUUGUAGUUUUUAUAAAUGACUUUCUUACAGAAUGUCAAAAGCUUAGUUUAUCAUGUCUAGAUAAGUAUUGACAAGUUUCUUGUCUAAAAAAAUUAAAUUGAGUUGUAAUUGGACUUUUAUUGAUGGGUCUUAAUGGUUGACUGAGU
rnacentral:lncRNA from 1 species